GUGGUUCCAACAAAGUGUGUCCUUUGUGAUACAGUUGAGGAAACGACAGUCCAUCUAUUCUUCAAUUGCGACUUCAGCUAGACUCUUUGGAACGAAUUUACAAGUUUGACAGACUAUGCUUUAUGGAAGAUUAUGGGUAUCACAGAGAUAAAACAAGGAGAUAUAAGGGUGGGUGAUAUCAUGGAAGGGAUAUCCAAAUUCAGGAAGUCAGCACCAUGCUGGGGACUACAUUGGAAUGCACUUGCAAUAUUUAUAUGGCAUCUUUGGAGGGAGAGAAAUCUACGACACAAUGAGGGGCUCUUUCGGCCGGUUAAAGUCGUUGGAAGGGAUUUCAUACGAGAUUUGACUAUCAUCUAUGACUACCGCCUAUUUAAAAAAGCGCAGAGG
rnacentral:lncRNA from 1 species